AUGAACGCUAGGCGGCAGGCCUAACACAUGCAAGGUCGAGGGGUAGAAUUAGCUUGCUAAUUUGAGACCGGCGCACGGGUGCGUAACGCGUAUGCAAUCUACCUUGUACGAGGGGGAUAGCCCAGAGAAAUUUGGAUUAAUACCCCAUGGUAUAAUUAAUUGCAUGAAUUGAUUAUUAAAGUUCCAACGGUACAAGAUGAGCAUGCGUCCCAUUAGCUAGUUGGUGUGGUAACGGCAUACCAAGGCGACGAUGGGGUAGGGGUCCUGAGAGGGAGAUCCCCCACACUGGUACUGAGACACGGACCAGACUCCUACGGGAGGCAGCAGUGAGGAAUAUUGGUCAAUGGUCGGAAGACUGAACCAGCCAUGCCGCGUGCAGGAAGAAGCAUCUAUGGUGUGUAAACUGCUUUUGUACGGGAGCAAUAAGGUCUACGAGUAGAUUGAUGAGAGUACUGUACGAAUAAGCAUCGGCUAACUCCGUG
rnacentral:rRNA from 1 species